UCAUCCCAAGAAUCUCAGCCACUGUCCUUUUAUCACCAUCGGGAGUAUUGGUGCUAUAAAAAUUUAUCAACUUAUCAAAAUUCACACAUUAACCAAAAACUCUUUCAUAUUCCUUUAAGAUACUUUUCAAAGUGUACGCACCCUUACCAGUAGCCUAGCAAAAAAAAUACAAUCGUCUGCAAAAGUAAAUGUGAUAUCUAUGAACCUUUUCAACUCACUUUUGCCCCACGAAUCAAAC
rnacentral:lncRNA from 1 species